rnacentral:rRNA from 1 species
AACGAACGCUGGCGGCAUGCCUAACACAUGCAAGUCGAACGAGCCCUUCGGGUCUAGUGGCGCACGGGUGCGUAACGCGUGGGAACCUGCCCUUAGGUUCGGAAUAACUCCCCGAAAGGGGUGCUAAUACCGGAUAAUGUCUUCGGACCAAAGAUUUAUCGCCUUUGGAUGGGCCCGCGUUGGAUUAGCUAGUUGGUAGGGUAAAAGCCUACCAAGGCGACGAUCCAUAGCUGGUCUGAGAGGAUGAUCAGCCACACUGGGACUGAGACACGGCCCAGACUCCUACGGGAGGCAGCAGUGGGGAAUAUUGGACAAUGGGCGAAAGCCUGAUCCAGCAAUGCCGCGUGAGUGAUGAAGGCCUUAGGGUUGUAAAGCGCUUUUACCCGGGAUGAUAAUGACAGUACCGGGAGAAUAAGCUCCGGCUAACUCCGUG